rnacentral:rRNA from 1 species
UACAGAGGUGGCAAGCGUUGUUCGGAAUUACUGGGCGUAAAGGGCGCGUAGGCGGCCAUCUAAGUCAGACGUGAAAUCCCCCGGCCUAACCUGGGAACUGCGUCUGAUACUGGAAGGCUUGAGUAUGGGAGAGGGAUGUAGAAUUCCAGGUGUAGCGGUGAAAUGCGUAGAUAUCUGGAGGAAUACCGGUGGCGAAGGCGGCAUCCUGGACCAUUACUGACGCUGAGGCGCGAAAGCUAGGGGAGCAAACGGG